UUAUGUUUUUAGGUGCAGGUGCUCCUGAGAAGGUAGAAGAGAACGUGGUUCAAAACCAUAUGAGCAGCAUUAGCCUGGACUCUAUCAGAAGUGACACAUGAGUUGGGACCAAAGCAAGAUGCUUAAGGAAGGAAGGAAGUAACCAUCUAGGAAACCACAGUCAUGACCCAGGGACAAAAAAGAAAAGGAAAAAAAGGAGGAGACAUUCAAGCAUGUUUGAAAGAAUUGGAAUCAGCAAAUGAAACAGAAGAAACGGCCAGAAACACAGCUCUGUGUGGUAGCUCAGAAAACAAGUGAGGAG